ensembl:snoRNA SNORD115 Small nucleolar RNA SNORD115
AGGUCAAUGAUGAGACCUUUACUGUCUCGAAGAGAGAUGAUGACUUAGAAAUCAUGCUGAAGCCC